rnacentral:rRNA from 1 species
AUUGAACGCUGGCGGCGUGCUUAACACAUGCAAGUCGAUCGGUAACAGGUGUAGCAAUACAUGCUGACGAGAGGCGGACGGGUGAGUAAUGCUUGGGAAUCUGCCUAUUAGUGGGGGACAACCCGGGGAAACUCGGGCUAAUACCACAUACGCUCUACGGAGGAAAGCCGGGGACCGCAAGGCCUGGCGCUAAUAGAUGAGCCCAAGUCGGAUUAGCUAGUUGGUAGGGUAACGGCCUACCAAGGCGACAAUCCGUAGCUGGUCUGAGAGGACGACCAGCCACACCGGAACUGAGACACGGUCCGGACUCCUACGGGAGGCAGCAGUGGGGAAUAUUGGACAAUGGGGGCAACCCUGAUCCAGCGACGCCGCGUGGGUGAAGAAGGCCUGCGGGUUGUAAAGCCCUUUCGGUGGGGAAGAAAAGUCUCGACCUAAUACGUCGGGACCUUGACGUAACCACUAAAGAAGCACCGGCUAACUCUGUGCCAGCCGCCGCGGU